rnacentral:lncRNA from 1 species
GGGGGGGGCUAGGAUGAAAUUUGAAAAAAAUAGGCAGGACAGGAGUUUGAGUAAAAAAAAGGCAGGAUGUGACACUUGCAAAAAAAAAGAAGUCAGGACGACAAUUUAGGUAAAAAAAAGUCAGGAUAAACUAAAAAAAAAGGCAGGACCGAUUAGAGUAAAAAAUAAAAAGGCAGGACAGAGAUUACAGCUAAAAAAAAAUGCAGGACAACAUUUUUCAUCCUAGCCCCCCCCCC